rnacentral:rRNA from 1 species
GACGAACGCUGGCGGCGUGCUUAACACAUGCAAGUCGAACGGAAAGGCCCUGCUUUUGUGGGGUGCUCGAGUGGCGAACGGGUGAGUAACACGUGAGUAACCUGCCCUUGACUCUGGGAUAACUUCAGGAAACUGGGGCUAAUACCGGAUAGGAGCUCCUGCUGCAUGGUGGGGGUUGGAAAGUUUCGGCGGUUGGGGAUGGACUCGCGGCUUAGCAGCUUGUUGGUGGGGUAGUGGCUUACCAAGGCUUUGACGGGUAGCCGGCCUGAGAGGGUGACCGGCCACAUUGGGACUGAGAUACGGCCCAGACUCCUACGGGAGGCAGCAGUGGGGAAUAUUGCACAAUGGGCGGAAGCCUGAUGCAGCAACGCCGCGUGCGGGAUGACGGCCUUCGGGUUGUAAACCGCUUUCGCCUGUGACGAAGCGUGAGUGACGGUAAUGGGUAAAGAAGCACCGGCUAACUACGUG